rnacentral:lncRNA from 1 species
CAACACAAAUCAAAUGAUGGACUUAUGUCCAUUUACAACAAAUUGAAUUAAUCAAAUUACAUUUAAAUCUACACUACUAAAACCCAAACAUUCAUAAUGUAAAUCGGCCAAUCACAUAGCUCAAUUAUCGUGGCCAUUGGUUCAUAAUCACCCUUUUCUUAAUCAAUCACAUUAACUAAGAAAGCAACUUAAACAAUUGGUUUUUUUGGAUCCAUAGAAUUGAUUUAAAUGGAACUAAAUGAAAUGAAAAUCCAAUUCUCAUUAAAGAGACAAAACAAUUUUGUUCUCAUUUUAUUUGGGCCAAAAGGAAACUAUGACCACAACAAUUGGGCCAUAAUGCAAAUACAAAAACUUUUGGGGUCACUUUGUAAAAACACAAUAGUCCACAACUUCAUGUAAUUACAACUAGAUCCCAAAAUUUUAUUAAUGUAAAAACAUCAUUAAAGGAUCAAAACAAUUCGUCCUUUAGUGUUUUAGGGCCUUAACGUAAAAACGUAAACUUUUGGGCCAAAGUGAAAAUACACAAAAGUAUCAAAACUUUAUGUAAUUGCGUAAAAGACCCCAAAAGUACCCCCACUAGGGGGUGGCCGGUUUUGGAGUGGUAAAGGAGUGUGAAAGGGUUUUAUGCAAGUUGAUUUUGGUGGGUGAGGUAAAGGUGAAAUUGAUGGUUUGUAAGAAAAUGUUUUGUAAAACAUUUAUGAGUUUAGACAAACAUUAAAGCCAAAAUUAAUGUUUCACCAAUAACUUUCACCCAUCAAAAUUAAACCAAAACUUUAUGAAAAACAUAAACUUUUGAAUCAAAACUUCAAACCUUUUUGUUCUUGGCAAGAACUUCAAGAACAUUUGAAGAACACCAUGAAAACUCAUAAUAGCUCCAUGAAUGUUUUCAUUCACCAAAACUCAAUUUUUUCACCACUCAAAAGAGGGCUAAUAUCCUAGGGUACUUAGGGGUUCCAAAAGUCACCUUAAAACCAUUUU